CGGGGCGCAGGGAUUGUGGUCCCUUCGAAUCCGAAGUCCUGGCGGGCGUGGUCUGAGGCCGUGGCUGUGCCUGCCUGAGAUGUUGAGGUCCUUUCCUGCGACACUGAGCCUGCAAUCCGCCGCGGGUCACCGAGUUCAAAUCUCAUCUUCACCAAAUUGUGUGACUUUGGCAAGUCAGAGAGUGCCUCAUUUUUCGUAUCUCCAUUAUGGGGAGUAUAAAAGUAUCUACCAUGUUACAGGGAUUAACAUGCGUAAGAAACUUGGAAUUCUGCCUGGCAGAGAGAA